AUUGAACGCUGGCGGCAGGCCUAACACAUGCAAGUCGAGCGGGGUUUUCGGACCUAGCGGCGGACGGGUGAGUAAUGCGUAGGAAGCUGCCCGAUUGAGGGGGAUACCAGUUGGAAACGACUGUUAAUACCGCAUAAUGUCUACGGACCAAAGUGUGGGACCUUCGGGCCACAUGCUAUCGGAUGCGCCUACGUGGGAUUAGCUAGUUGGUGAGGUAAUGGCUCACCAAGGCGACGAUCUCUAGCUGGUUUGAGAGGAUGAUCAGCCACACUGGAACUGAGACACGGUCCAGACUCCUACGGGAGGCAGCAGUGGGGAAUAUUGGACAAUGGGCGCAAGCCUGAUCCAGCCAUGCCGUGUGUGUGAAGAAGGCCUUCGGGUUGUAAAGCACUUUCAGCGAGGAGGAAGGGUGAUGUGUUAAUAGCACAUCAUUUUGACGUUACUCGCAGAAGAAGCACCGGCUAACUCUGCGCCAGCCGCCGCAGUAACAC
rnacentral:rRNA from 1 species